AUUGGUUUUGUUAUGCCUCAGAAUAAGAAUAAAGGAUUUUUUUAAUAGUAACUCACCGAAAUCGACACAGUAUUUUCAGAUAGGUUACAAUACAUGUGCAUUUACAUGUAUGUAUAUGUGACGUAUAUGUUAACAGCCAUUGUUAUGUACAUCUCAGAUAUUGCGCUUUGUAAAAAAUGAGAAUGGAAAUGGGGAAUGUGUCAACAACCCGACCAAAGAGCAGACAACAGCCGAUGGCCAUCAAUGGGUCUGUUAUGCAUCGAGAGAUAGAUAUAUGGAGAAUUUUAUCAUGGUGUUGUUUACAAAGCGAAUGAAGUGCGUCAUAUUAGAAUUAGCAGUGUAUUAUUUAUCAUGUUAACACUGUUAUAUAUUCAUUAACCCCUCCAUUUUCUGUAUGUGCCUCUCCCAGGCAGAGAACCUACA
rnacentral:lncRNA from 1 species